rnacentral:rRNA from 1 species
AUGAUUCCGGCGGCCGCGUUCAUUGUGCUGCUGUUCCAGCUCUGCAUCUCGGCGCCGGCUGCUCAGGUCACAGGAGGUGCUGGGCCGCCGGCGGCGAGCUGCCCAACCAGCUGCGGCAGCGUGAGCGUGCCGUACCCGUUCGGCAUCGGCCAAGGGUGCUACUGGCCGGGCUUCAACCUCACCUGCGACCGGGCGCCCGGCCGAGAGCGGCUGCUCAUCGGCGGCCGCAGCGGCACCCUCGAAGUCGUGGACAUCUCGCUGGCCAACUCCACGGUGCGCGUCAUGGACACCGCGGGCGCCGUGAACAUCACCUACUACGGGAUCCCCGAGGGCAACGGCACGUGGGGCGGCCUCGCCGGCGCCCGCGCCGGCCCGUUCGUGGUGUCGGAGACGCGCAACCAGUUCCUGGUCACCGGGUGCAACGUGCAGGCCACGCUGCUCGGGGAGACCGGCAACGUCAUCGUCGGCUGCUCCGCCUUCUGCGCCGUCAACGACCGGUGGUCCAGCGCCGCCACCAGCUCGCUCGAGGAGGUCGCCAAGUGCGCCGGCAUCGGCUGCUGCGAGACGCCCAUCCCCAUCGGCCGCCCGUCCUACGGCGUGGAGUUCAAGUGGGUGGAUCCCAACCACGAGAAGGACGGCGAGCUGCCCGCGUACGUUCGCAUCGCCGAGAGGGGCUGGUUCGAGGGCGUCUCCGCCGCGCUCCUCAACACGUCGCUCGCGGACUCGUCGAGCCGGACGGCGAUCCCCGUUGUGCUGGAGUGGGCCGUGGAGUCCAGGCCGCUUCCGCAGCCGCAGGAUACGCUGGGCACGUCGGGCUGCCCGGAGGACGCGGCGAGGAGCGCGUGCCGGAGCAGUCUCAGCUCAUGCCACAACGUCACCGGCAACUACCGCACUGGCUACGUGUGCCGGUGCGAGGACGGUUACCAGGGCAACCCGUACCUCGCCGACGGAUGCCAAGACGUCGACGAGUGCGCGCUGCCCGGCACCUGCUCCGGCGGCGAGUGCACCAACACGGCCGGCGGAUACAUAUGCCGGUGCCCGCCUGGGGCCCGCGACAACCCACAUGUCAAAGAUGGCUGCGUCAAAUCUUCCCUAGGUUUAAGUGUCGGCAUAGGAAUGGGCAGCGGCGCUGGCCUUCUACUCAUGGUACUUGGUGCCAUAUUUUUGACCAGGAAGAUGAAGCGCCGGAGGGCAAAAAUGUUGAAGCAGAAGUUCUUCAAGCAGAACAGGGGGUAUCUCUUGCAGCAACUGGUGUCACAAAAGGCGGACAUCGCCGAGAGGAUGAUCAUCCCCUUGGUGGAGCUGGAGAAGGCCACAAACAGUUUCGACAAAGCUCGCGAGAUCGGUGGAGGGGGGCAUGGCACGGUGUACAAAGGGAUCAUGUCAGACCUGCAUGUUGUGGCGAUCAAGAAGUCUAAGGUCGCGAUCCAGAGGGAGAUCGACGAGUUCAUCAACGAGGUAGCCAUCCUCUCUCAGAUCAACCAUCGGAACGUGGUGAAGCUCUUCGGGUGCUGCCUCGAGACGGAGGUGCCCUUGCUAGUGUACGAGUUCAUCUCCAAUGGGACUCUUUACCAUCAUCUUCAUGUCGAAGAGCCUGAAGCAUCGCUGCCAUGGGUGGAUCGUCUGAGGAUUGCAACGGAGACCGCGAGAGCUCUCGCGUACCUUCACUCGGCCGUGUCAAUCCCUAUAGUCCACAGGGACAUCAAGUCUCAGAACAUUUUGAUAGAUGGCAAUCUCGUAGCAAAGGUGUCGGAUUUUGGAGCUUCAAGGUGCAUUCCGAUCGAUCAAACGGGGAAUGCAACCGCGAUCCAAGGGACAUUCGGGUACUUAGACCCCAUGUACUACUAUUCGGGACGGCUUACCGAGAAGAGCGACGUUUACAGCUUUGGUGUUCUCCUCAUGGAGCUGCUCACCAGGAAAAAACCAUGCUCAUUUCGAUCACCGGAGGAGGAAAGCCUUGUCUUAUAUUUCACUACCUUGCUCGCAACAGGCGGUCUAGUCCAUGUGUUAGAUCCUCAGAUUGUGGUGGAAGGGGGCAAGGAGGUUGAAGAGGUAGCUAUGUUGGCAGCGGCAUGCGUGAGGAUGGAAGGAGACCACCGGCCGACCAUGAGGCAAGUCGAGAUGACACUCGAGAGCCUUCGAGUACCCAAUGAAAAUGUUAAGAUGUAUGAGAUGGUUGCGCCUAGUUAUGCGGUGGUUACGGGUAAGAGCACAGAGGAGCUGAGCAGACAAUAUAGCCUAGAAGAAGAGUAUUUGUUGUCAUCAAGAUACCCACGGUAG